UACGGAGGGGGCUAGCGUUGUCCGGAGUCACUGGGCGUAAAGCGCGCGUAGGCGGCCUGUUAAGUUGGAUGUGAAAGCCCGGGGCUCAACCCCGGAUGUGCAUCCGAGACUGGCAGGCUAGAGUCCGAGAGAGGGCGGCGGAAUUCCCAGUGUAGAGGUGAAAUUCGUAGAUAUUGGGAAGAACACCGGUGGCGAAGGCGGCCGCCUGGCUCGGAACUGACGCUGAGGCGCGAAAGCGUGGGGAGCAAAC
rnacentral:rRNA from 1 species